UACGGAGGGUGCAAGCGUUAUCCGGAUUUACUGGGUUUAAAGGGUGUGUAGGCGGACUUUUAAGUCAGGGGUGAAAUCCCGAGGCUCAACCUCGGAACUGCCUUUGAUACUAUUGGUCUUGAAUGUUGUUGAGGUGGGCGGAACGGGUCAUGUAGCGGUGAAAUGCAUAGAUAUGUCAUAGAACACCGAUUGCGAAGGCAGCUGACAAAACUGUAACUGACGCUGAGGCACGAAAGUGUGGGGAUCAAACAGG
rnacentral:rRNA from 1 species